GACGAACGCUGGCGGCGUGCCUAAUACAUGCAAGUAGGACGCAGUUGCGAACGGGUGGGUAACGCAUAGGUCAAUGCCGAUUAGAGGGGGAUAACAAUUGGAAACGAUAGCUAAUACCGCAUACUAGUAGAUGGAUCUGCGUUGUAUUAGCUAGUAGGUAGGGUAAUGGCAUACCUAGGCGACGAGACAUAGCCGACCUGAGAGGGUGAUCGGCCACACUGGGACUGAGACACGGCCCAGACUCCUACGGGAGGCAGCAGUAGGGAAUAUUGGACAAUGGGCGAAAGCCUGAUCCAGCCAUGCCGCGUGUGUGAAGAAGGUCUUCGGGUUGUAAAGCACUUUAAGUUGGAAAGCGUUACCAACAGAAUAAGCACCGGCUAACUUCGUGCCAGCAGCCGCGGUAAUAC
rnacentral:rRNA from 1 species